rnacentral:rRNA from 1 species
CGGACGGGUGAGUAAUGUCUGGGAAACUGCCCGAUGGAGGGGGAUAACUACUGGAAACGGUAGCUAAUACCGCAUAACGUCGCAAGACCAAAGAGGGGGACCUUCGGGCCUCUUGCCAUCGGAUGUGCCUAGAUGGGAUUAGCUAGUAGGUGGGGUAAUGGCUCACCUAGGCGACGAUCCCUAGCUGGUCUGAGAGGAUGACCAGCCACACUGGAACUGAGACACGGUCCAG